rnacentral:misc_RNA from 1 species
UUUCCGUAGGUGAACCUGCGGAAGGAUCAUUAUUGAAUAAACCUGAUGUGGUUGUAGCUGGCCCUUUCGGGAGCAUGUGCACACCCGUCGUCUUUAUCUUUCCACCUGUGCACCUUUUGUAGACCUGGAUGUAACACUUUCCGAGGCAACUCGGUCGGGAGGAAUGCUGUCAGCUUUCCUUGAAUGUCCAGGCCUAUGUUUUCAUAUACCCCAAAGAAUGUAACAGGAUGCAUUAUUGGGCCUUGUGCCUAUAAACUAUAUACAACUUUCAGCAACGGAUCUCUUGGCUCUC